rnacentral:lncRNA from 1 species
GAAAGCCACAGAAUGAAAGAAAGCCAAGGAGUACAUUCGGCAUGUCAAAUGGUGAAGUCAGGUGAAAGUGAUCACAUCGUUCGAAGGCUUCAAAAUCUCAGUGAAGUCACCCCAUAGUAACAGCUGUGAAUGAAGUCACAAUGAGCCAGGGAGAGCAGGCCCAAGGUCAAGAUUACUACUACAAUUAUCAUCACCCGUGUCUUGGUCCUCAUGAACCAUUCAGCAUUCCUGAACUGAUAAGAUUAAUUCUGCAGAGCAAGAGGAAGACAGGAGAAAAGAAGCACAGCCUAAGGAGACACAGAUGGCUACAAGGAGAGGAUCACUUUGAACAGGAGUCUCUCAGAUCAACAUGUACCCAUUCAAGCUCCCCAGGCUCAACCCCUUACCUUCUGCAACACAAAUCUUUGUCAAGCAUCCAAAGUCCUCGACAGCACAAAAACAAUAGCAGAAUGAGUAUUACCCUUAACUUAGUGUGUUUGAAACCAUUUCAAAGAAUUUAA